AUGAACGCUAGCGACAGGCUUAACACAUGCAAGUCGAGGGGCAGCGGGGGUAGCGAUACCCGCCGGCGACCGGCGCACGGGUGAGUAACGCGUAUGCAACUUGCCUAUCAGAGGGGGAUAACCCGGCGAAAGUCGGACUAAUACCGCAUGAAGCAGGGGCCCCGCAUGGGGGUAUUUGCUAAAGAUUCAUCGCUGAUAGAUAGGCAUGCGUUCCAUUAGGCAGUUGGCGGGGUAACGGCCCACCAAACCGACGAUGGAUAGGGGUUCUGAGAGGAAGGUCCCCCACAUUGGUACUGAGACACGGACCAAACUCCUACGGGAGGCAGCAGUGAGGAAUAUUGGUCAAUGGCCGAGAGGCUGAACCAGCCAAGUCGCGUGAGGGAUGAAGGUUCUAUGGAUCGUAAACCUCUUUUAUAAGGGAAUAAAGUGCGGGACGUGUCCCGUUUUGUAUGUACCUUAUGAAUAAGGAUCGGCUAACUCCGUGCCAGCAGCCGCGGUAAUACGGAGGAUCCGAGCGUUAUCCGGAUUUAUUGGGUUUAAAGGGUGCGUAGGCGGCCUUUUAAGUCAGCGGUGAAAGUCUGUGGCUCAACCAUAGAAUUGCCGUUGAAACUGGGGGGCUUGAGUAUGUUUGAGGCAGGCGGAAUGCGUGGUGUAGCGGUGAAAUGCUUAGAUAUCACGCAGAACCCCGAUUGCGAAGGCAGCCUGCCAAGCCAUGACUGACGCUGAUGCGCGAAAGCGUGGGGAUCAAACAGGAUUAGAUACCCUGGUAGUCCACGCAGUAAACGAUGAUCACUAGCUGUUUGCGAUACAUUGUAAGCGGCACAGCGAAAGCGUUAAGUGAUCCACCUGGGGAGUACGCCGGCAACGGUGAAACUCAAAGGAAUUGACGGGGGCCCGCACAAGCGGAGGAACAUGUGGUUUAAUUCGAUGAUACGCGAGGAACCUUACCCGGGUUUGAACGCAUUCGGACCGAGGUGGAAACACCUUUUCUAGCAAUAGCCGUUUGCGAGGUGCUGCAUGGUUGUCGUCAGCUCGUGCCGUGAGGUGUCGGCUUAAGUGCCAUAACGAGCGCAACCCUUGCCACUAGUUACUAACAGGUAAAGCUGAGGACUCUGGUGGGACUGCCAGCGUAAGCUGCGAGGAAGGCGGGGAUGACGUCAAAUCAGCACGGCCCUUACAUCCGGGGCGACACACGUGUUACAAUGGCGUGGACAAAGGGAAGCCACCUGGCGACAGGGAGCGAAUCCCCAAACCACGUCUCAGUUCGGAUCGGAGUCUGCAACCCGACUCCGUGAAGCUGGAUUCGCUAGUAAUCGCGCAUCAGCCAUGGCGCGGUGAAUACGUUCCCGGGCCUUGUACACACCGCCCGUCAAGCCAUGGGAGCCGGGGGUACCUGAAGUCCGUAACCGAAAGGAUCGGCCUAGGGUAAAACUGGUGACUGGGGCU
rnacentral:rRNA from 1 species